rnacentral:tRNA from 1 species
GCCUGAGUGGCUCAGUCGGUUAAGCAUCCGACUUCGGCUCAGGUCAUGAUCUCACGGUUCGUGGGUUCGAGCCCCACAUCAGGCU